UAAAUGUUUUUUUUAUACUGCUCUCUUUCUUUCUCUGCUUGAUAAUGACAAAAAUUGCCGUCUGUGAGGUUUGAUUUGGGAAGAGUGUGUUUAUUGAUUGUUUGACAAUUGCGAGAGGUCGUCUCUCUGUUUUGCUUUCUGUCAUUAUUUCCCACGUGAGGAAAGAGUUGUCUUAAACAAUACAAGAUUUGGAAUGGUUUAGAAUUCCUACACAAUUGACUACAAGAGACAACUUAAAAGAAGUGACUUGUUACUCCCAGCCGCUUUAAUCGUACGUCUCGUUAGAAAACGCUAGUAUGACGACGAAUAGGAAAUGAAUCGGACCAUGACGGUUUAAGCUGAAGUUUUCUAAUAUAUAUAUCUUUUUAGAAUAAAGAAAUCAUUGUAAAAGGUUGAUUUCAUAAAUGUCCGGCUGGUCGGAGUAUUAAGAGGUAGAGCCUCUUUGAGUAAGUGAAGCGUGAAGCGCUGUACAUGGCCGAUUGGAGGUUCGACUUGCGAGUGACUCCAAUGAUAUGUGGCCUUAGUGAACUGCAGUUGUUUUGUAAAGCUGAGAUCUCUGGUUUAGGCUUUGAGGUGAGAAAAACCUCCCGGUAAAUUUUAAAUAGUAGGCCUGUUUUGGUGCAUGCAGAUUUUUGUUGGGCGAGGCCCAGUAGUUGUAAGCGCUUGUAAAAGAGAAAUGAGGUUUCUCUUGGAUCAUCAGUGUGUCUUAAAGAGUUAACUGCAGUCUGGGUUGUUUGAGUACUCUGGUUUAGGUAACGAGGUGAAAUCAAAUUUGAAAUAGAAGGCCUGUUCUAGAGCACGUGAAAUAUAAAUGUUUACUUUUACUUUUUUGCUAUGGGUCCAAUAAAUAUGGUUUAAAUUAUAUGUGCGCACAGUAAAAUCCAGGAAUAUUGGGCAUCUGGACCAUUAAUAGAAAAUAUUAAGUUCCCGGGAGAGUGAGAAAUGAUCCUGUCAUCAGAAGUAAAGGUAAAGUGUGUCUAAUUUGAGAAAGCAACAGUGCAUGGAAACCUUUAUUUUUUUGUAAAGAAAUCUGCUGAACCAAGGUGUGUACACUUAUUGAGCUGCUGUGUUGAAAAGAUGUGGGUGCAGUUACGCAAACUGGGUUUGAAGGAUUACCAAUAGUUGUGCAGUGGUUUCGCUGGUGGCAGUGGCGUCUGCCUGUUCCUGACUGUGUGCUAUUAUUU